rnacentral:rRNA from 1 species
CCUACGGGGGGCAGCAGUGGGGAAUAUUGGGCAAUGGGCGCAAGCCUGACCCAGCAACGCCGCGUGAAGGAAGAAGGCUUUCGGGUUGUAAACUUCUUUUGUCAGGGACGAAGCAAGUGACGGUACCUGACGAAUAAGCCACGGCUAACUACGUGCCAGCAGCCGCGGUAAUACGUAGGUGGCAAGCGUUAUCCGGAUUUAUUGGGUGGAAAGGGCGUGUAGGCGGGAAUGCAAGUCAGAUGUGAAAACUAUGGGCUCAACCCAUAGCCUGCAUUUGAAACUGUAUUUCUUGAGUGCUGGAGGGGCAAUCGGAAUUCCGUGUGGAGCGGUGAAAUGCGUAGAUAUACGGAGGAACACCAGUGGCGAAGGCGGAUUGCUGGACAGUAACUGACGCUGAGGCGCGAAAGCGUGGGGAGCAAACAGGAUUAGAUACCCUUGUAGUC